GCUGGAUGGAGUCUCUCUGAUGAUGAU
rnacentral:piRNA from 1 species